GUGGGGAAUAUUGGACAAUGGGCGCAAGCCUGAUCCAGCCAUACCGCGUGGGUGAAGAAGGCCUUCGGGUUGUAAAGCCCUUUUGUUGGGAAAGAAAUCCUAUCGAUUAAUACUCGGUGGGGAUGACGGUACCCAAAGAAUAAGCACCGGCUAACUUCGUGCCAGCAGCCACGGUAAUACGAAGGGUGCAAGCGUUACUCGGAAUUACUGGGCGUAAAGCGUGCGUAGGUGGUUGUUUAAGUCUGCUGUGAAAGCCCUGGGCUCAACCUGGGAAUUGCAGUGGAUACUGGGCAACUAGAGUGUGGUAGAGGGAUGCGGAAUUUCUGGUGUAGCAGUGAAAUGCGUAGAGAUCAGAAGGAACAUCCGUGGCGAAGGCGGCAUCCUGGGCCAACACUGACACUGAGGCACGAAAGCAUGGGGAGCAAACAGGAUUAGAAACCCCUGUAGUCC
rnacentral:rRNA from 1 species